rnacentral:rRNA from 1 species
CCCUUAGAUGUUCUGGGCUGCACGCGCGCUACACUGAUGCGCUCAACGAGUUUAUGACCUUGCCCGGAAGGGUUGGGUAAUCUUUUCAAAACGCAUCGUGAUGGGGAUAGAUUAUUGCAAUUAUUAAUCUUCAACGAGGAAUUCCUAGUAAGCGCGAGUCAUCAGCUCGUGCUGAUUACGUCCCUGCCCUUUGUACACACCGCCCGUCGCUCCUACCGAUUGAGGGAUCCGGUGAAUAAUUCGGACUGCGGCAAUGUUCAGCUCCUGAAUGUUGCUGCGGAAAGUUUAGUGAACCUUAUCACUUAGAGGAAGGAGAAGUCGUAACA